rnacentral:rRNA from 1 species
GAGAGUUUGAUCCUGGCUCAGGAUGAACGCUAGCGAGAUGCAUUACACAUGCAAGUCGAACGAAAAUUUUUUUAUUUUAAGUGGCGAACGGGUGCGUAACACGUAAGAAUUCACCUUUGGGAGGGGGAUAACUUUUAGAAAUAAUUGCUAAUACCCCAUAAUACAUUUAGUUAAAGAGAUUAUCUGCCCAAAGAGAAGCUUGCGGCUGAUUAGCUUGUUGGUAAGAUAAUAGCUUACCAAGGCGAAAAUCAGUAUCUGGUUUGAGAGGAUGAUCAGACACACUGGAACUGAGAUACGGUCCAGACUUCUACGGAAGGCAGCAGUGAGGAAUCUUCCGCAAUGGGCGAAAGCCUGACGGAGCAAUCUCGCGUGAGAGAUGAAAGCUCAUGAGUCGUAAAUCUCUUUUUUUAGUGAGGAAUAAAAUGACGUGUACCUAAAGAAUAAGCAUCGGCUAACUCCGUGCCAGCAGCCGCGGUAAUACGGGGGAUGCAAGUGUUAUCCGGAAUCAUUGGGCGUAAAGCGUUUGUAGGUGGUUUUAUAAGUCAAUUAUUAAAUCUUAAAGCUCAACUUUAAUUCUGUAAUUGAAACUAUAAAACUAGAGUAAUGUAAAGGUAAAGGGAAUUUUUAAAGAAGCGGUAGAAUGCGGUUAUUUUAGAAGGACCAUCAAUGGCGAAAGCACUUUAUUAGGCUAUACUAACACUUAGAAACGAAAGCUAAGGGAGCGAAUGGGAUUAGAUACCCCAGUAGUCUUAGCUGUAAACGAUGGAUACUAAGUAUUACCUAGAUUAAUCUAUGUAGUAUUGAAGCUAACGCGUUAAGUAUCCCGCCUGGGGAAUACGCUCGCAAGAGUAAAACUCAAAGGAAUUGACGGGGGCUCGCACAAGCGGUGGAGCAUGUGGUUUAAUUCGAUGCAACGCGAUGAACCUUACCAGAGUUUGACAUGAUAUAAAUAUUUUUGAAAAAAAAUAGUGCCUUCGGGAAUAUAUACACAGGUGGUGCAUGGCUGUCGUCAGCUCGUGUCGUGAGAUGUUGGAUUAAGUUCCGCAACGAGCGCAACCCUUGUUUUUAGUUGCUGAAAAGAACUCUAAAAAGACUGCCGAUUAUAUAUUGGAGGAAGGAGAGGAUGAGGUCAAGUCAGCAUGCCCCUUAUAUUCUGGGCUACACACGUGCUACAAUGGAUAAAACAAUAAGAUGCUACUCCGUGAGGACAAGCUAAUCUGUAAAUUUAUCCUAAGUUCAGAUUGUAGGCUGCAACUCGUCUACAUGAAGUUGGAAUCGCUAGUAAUCGCUGAUCAGCUACACAGCGGUGAAUACGUUACCGGGCCUUGUACAUACCGCCCGUCACACUAUGGAAGUUGAAUAUACCCGAAAUCAUUUAUUUAACCAUUUAAAUAUGGAGGAAAAUGCUUAAGGUAGAUUUAAUAACUGGGGUGAAGUCGUAACAAGGUAACUGUACUGGAAGGUGCG